AUAUGACCAAAAAACGUGUCACAAUGUUAAAUCAGAUACUACCCUUGUAUAUUAAGAGGCAUCUCCACAAACUGAAAAAAAAAAAAAAAACCCUUCACCAAACCAAAAACCGGAAGAAGAAGAAGAAGAAAAAGAAUGUAAAAGCACCUAAACGUUUCGGUUUUCUAAUGGAAAUUUGUAUAUGUUUUUGAUAAUGAACAUGAAUUUAUUUGCUAUGCUUCUGAACUCUGAAACCAGUCAAGUUAUUUAUGGAGAGGGAGUGGACCUAGGGUUUAACAUGCAAGGUUUUACAGAGAACGAUGAUGAUCUUCCAUGUUCUGAUCUUUGGGAAGUAAGCAAUAUUUACUUUGUCAUAAAAAUCAACUUUUUUCUUUCCUUCUGUCUGUUUUGCUGAGUUUAUUAUAAAAGUUUGUACUUGAUGAUGUAUGGGUUUUGUUAAGGUUUAAAGAAGGAAGCAAGUUAUCUCUCUGAGUGGGAAGCAAAGGACACUAAAUCACAAACAAAGUUUUGUCAUAAAAACUUAGAAUCCAACAGUCUUAUGUUCUUGUCUCCUUAGAAUCCAAGGACCUAGUAGUAAGAGCCUAUAGAACAGAUCAUGUUCAAGUAAUACUAUCAUUGUUUUUUUUAUGUAACUCUCGCUUUGGAAUCUAUUUACCAAUCAAAGCAGCUCUGGUGGUGUUACAAUUUCAACAAGCUAGGGCCCACUUUGAGCUUUUCAUGGUUGGUAAGAUUUUACAGGUGACAUUGUAAAUAUGUUUCUAAAGUACCUUUUUUUUUUCUUUCUAAUUCAGUGGUAGUUAGCAGUAGCAAAUGCAUUUCUUAAACCAAAUUUAAGUUGUCAUGUUGAGAUUUUCAAUUGUUGUUAGAUUGGUUUUUUAGUUAUUAAAUUUAGUGAAGCCACUGUCUUUGUGCUGAUUGUUGUCAUCAGAACAAUAUAUGUUUUGGGUCAAAAGAUGAAACUGAUCCGUCCCUGCUAUUUUCAUGUCAAUGUUUGGACGAAUGCUGUACUAUAUUGGAUCAUAUAAAGGUGUUAGUUUAGCUUCGGGUCAGGAUUUAUAUAGCCGUCAGCUUAUCCUAGACCCAUCGUCUUUCACGAUUCUAUCAGCGCUGUCUUUGUUCCAAAGACUUUCCAGUGACGGGCUUUAGAUGUUUAUUCAUUGUAGAGGUCAAGUAGGUAUCUGACUAAAGUCUCACAUCGUUUAAUGCGUAAAAGAAAUUAAUCUGUUCAAAUAUAAAAUGAAAGGACCUCUAUCUAUGCAACUUACGGAGCCGUGUGAUGAUGACAUGGCAAACUAUUCUUUCUCCUUUUACUAAAGAAUACCGUGUUAGUGUCACUAUUAGCGGCAUACGCUAGUUUUUGGAAGAGCCCUCUUCGUUGAAAACUCUGCAAUUUUAGUUUAAGUUUCUGUUUGGAUGUCUUGAUUUUUGGUAUGUCUCGCUAUUUUUAUUAUGCAUGACUAAAAUUUAAAGUUAAUAGGGAACAAGCAUCACAAUGAGUUCCAUUUUGUAGUAUUAUAAAAAACAUUAACCUCAUACUUGUCCCUCAAUGUUGACUUACUCUCUAAUGCGAACUUAUCUGCAAAUGAUGUUAUAUUGAGUCGCCGAUUGGAAAACAUGAUCGAAAAAUCGCGAUGAACCCAUAUGCCGAUGAACCCUAAUAGCAAGACGAACCCUAAUAGCAAGACGAUUCUCCUUCCAAUUUUGAUACUGAAACCAAGUUGAAACUAAACAAUGGCAGGUAUAAAACAUCAAUUUUAAUAUAAUAGAGUCAGUGAUAUGCACUUCAUUAGAAAAUUCUGCAAUGGCCUUUUUACCACCUGGGUAAUGUAACCAGUAUUGAAUUUAUACUAUUAUAUGUAGAAAGCAUGUCUAAAGUAGAGCAUAUGUGGUCAUUAGGACCAUUAUAAAAAAUUCAUAAAUCUAAUUUUCUGACUACAGAACAGUACGGAACAGAUUUGAUACAUUGUGUGGAGCUCACUUUCACUGUACAAGCCGGAUCCACACCGUGUGAGGCAACAUCUGCUCCUCCUUUCAAUCUGUUGGACUUAAGCAUUGCCAUUAAUGCUCAGUAUUCCUCUACAGAUUGUUUUGUAUGCUAUAGCCAUGGUAGGUUUUGAUCAUGAAAAUGGUGAGGUCUGUAAAGACUCACUUAAAACAAAAGAUGGAACAGAUCAUUGGGUCAUACAGCUCCUCGGUUGAAAGGACCAUGUAGGAAUGCUCUUUUUCAUCUGCAUUACUUCAGUCCACAAAUGGAGAUUUCAUCAAAUUUAAAAGGCAACAGUAUAUUGGAGGUUAAUGUGGAGUUAUGAACAUAUUUCUUUAGCAAAUUGGGGACUUUGAUAUAGUCGCAAAGUAUGCUACUCGAUGAAAAUUCUAAGUUAUAUAAAUAAAUAUCUCAUCAAACUGAGUUUUUGCAUCAUUGAUGUAGCUUAGGUGAUAGUUUUGGGAUAAAGUUAGCAUAGAUUUUUCAUUGCACAUGAAUGGGUAUUGUAGUGCAAAUAUUGUGUGCAAUGUAUUAGUCUCAUGCCUCUUUUGUUGGCACAUCUUGUUCUUUAGCGUUAGUAAGAUCUCUUUGCAUUUUGAAGAAAAAUUGUUUGUGUUGCAUCUACUCUUUUAUAUAGUACUGAUAGAUAACUGCAGGGUUAGAGGAAAUAUUCGUUGGUAGCUACUUUUCCAACCACUUACGUUUUUGUAAGAAAAUUCUUAUGGUAACAUGUUUCAAAGAGUGUUAGACCGACAGAUCAUCUUAAGGUAGCAUGUUUCAGAGUGUUAGACUUGACGGAUAACACAGAUGUAAACAAAUAACAGAAGUAAAAAUAGAUUUAGUAGAUGCACUAGAAAAGGUGCCAUCACUAUAUUAUACACAUCCAUAGAGUCAAUUUUAAUACAUGUCACUUUCCAACCUUAAAGUGUCAUGUUUCUUCUAAUGGUCCCGUUUCAAUGGCUAAAUCAAGUGCUAAUCCUAGAACAAAACACAAGUUUGCAAGCGACAAAAUGAUCAGAUAAAGCUGAAAUCCACCAGAAAGAAGGAAACUCUAAAUUUUAUUAUAAUGAAAGAAAAUCUUUAAGACUACGCCACCAAAGGUCUUUAAAUACAGAAAAAACAAAGAAAUCAUAACGGACAUUUAAUCCAAAAGAGAAUUAAAUAAAUAAAAUAAAACGUGAAAAAUAGUAAAAUGCUAUAAAUAAAUAAAACAAAACGUGAAAAAUAGUAAAAUGCUAAAUUUGAGCCUGAAACAAAUUUGAAUGACUUAAAAAGACCGUAGGUCACGGCCAAACUGUCAACUGGACUCAUUAGCCGAUUUCCUAUCCGAAAAGGUAUAAUAAUAAUUAUUCUGAUAUCGGACACCAAACUUGCACAAUUCUUGUGGAACCUAUCCGACGCGCGACUUCCUCUUCGAUAUGCGCAUUCAGCCUUCCUGCAUCAGUCUCCUCCACCUCUAAAGAACUCGACCCCGAGUUCUCUUGAUAAAGAAUCUCGCCUGCAUGAUAUUCGUGAAUGUCAGCAACAUUGAAAGUAUUGGACAUAUUCAUGAACUCUAGGAGAGUUACCACAUAAGCAUUAUCAUUGAUCUUCCCGGUCACUUUGAACGAGCCACCUUUACGUGGCUACAACAUGUUGUAAGUACCAACCCAAAACCUCUCUUUUUGCGCAGAAACACCAUCACAUAGUCUCCUACAUUGAAAACUUUGACUCUCUUGUGUUUGUCAGUAACUGCUUUAUUUUUCUGUCCACUAGCCUCUAAAUUUGCCUUGACAACUUCUUUAACAACUACCAUUUCUUCGGCCAUAUUCUUAGCUGUCGAACUAACUCCAGGCACCUUAGGAAACUUUACCAAAUCAACCACAUGCUUAGGAACAAAAGUAUAGACCAGAGAGAAUGGUGAUUUCCAUGUAGCUGAAUGCACAAUGCUGCUGUAAGCAAAUUCGACCUGAGGCAAAACUAAAUCCCACCGUUUCGCCUGUCACCUCAAACACUCCGAAAUCAUAUUUUCCAAAUUUUUGUUGGUUACCUCAGCUUGCCCAUUUGUUUGAGGAUGAGUUGUAGAAUUUAUGUUUAGCGCUGUUCCAAAUAAUCUCCAAAGAUUAUCCAGAAAUGAUUGAGAAAUUUGGCGUCCUUGUCUGAAAUAAUGGAUGUAGGAACCCCAUGAAGACACAACCUCCCUGAAUAACAACAUUCGUCAACCCUUUGAUCACCACUGGACAAAAACGUUAAUGUUAUUUUACAACCUCAUCAAGCUCCUUUUCACUCUGCAUCAUCACCAAUAAACUAGACUUUUUUCCUCUUGGAUUCUUAUUAAAGUGAAAAACAUGAGACAAAGAUGGAUUUUUUUAGUAGGUUAACUCGAUCUCUAAGAAAUACUUGAGUUUACCAAGGUCUUUCAUCUUAAAAUUAUCUAAUAAUGUUUUUUGACUAUUUGUAUCUCAAUCAUAUCAUCACAUAUAAAAAUAAUAUCAUCAACAUAAAUAAGAAGUGCAAUUAAUUUUCCUCUUUGUGAAUGUUUCAAGAAUAGUGUGGUAUGUGUGACUUUGCUUAUGGCCUUUGUGAAUAUUUCAAACCCGACUCAAGGUGAUUACAUUAAUCCAUGUGAUACAUUAUUCAAUGGACCCGCCUUAUUGGUUCCACCCAUGAAACCAAAGACAUGUGGAAACUCCAUAUGCACCCCUCCUCUGAGUUUCCAUGUAAGAAAUAAUUUUUGACAUCAAACUGAUGCAGUUCCUAACCAGAGUGACCAGCAAGAGAUGAUAAUAUUUGAAUAAUAUAUCCUUUUGUCAUUGGAGAAAAUGUCUCAUCAUAAUCAAUGUCAUAUGUAUGAGCAUUUCACAAUAUAUAUCCACAUGUAUCCAACUGCUUUCUUACCUUUUGUCACUCCACAAUCUCCCAAUUCCUAUUUUGUUCAAGUGCUUUUAUUUCAUUAUCCAUAACUUGAAACCAAAAUUUAUUUUU